rfam:Lactobacillus silagei DNA, scaffold: sequence04, strain: IWT126.
AAACAAACGUUGAUCGGACUAGUAAUCAUGAUUAAUUAAGCAGAGAACCCGCGCAGAUGAGAACCGGGUAGUUAAUUAUGACGAAUCACAUCUGGGAGUUGACUUUCUGAACGAAGUAGGAAAGCUCCGGUAAGCUCGUUAUCGCUGAAGUUUAUUAUAUAAACUUACUGAGGUUGGCUGUGUGAGCAGUCAGCGAAUCAGAGGUGGAACCGCGAAAUUAUCGUCCUCUUG